UACGUAGGUGGCAAGCGUUGUCCGGAUUUACUGGGCGUAAAGAGCGCGCAGGCGGUCGGCCAAGUCGAGUGUGAAAGCCCCCGGCUCAACUGGGGAGGGUCAUUCGAUACUGGUCGACUCGAAGGCAGGAGAGGGAAGCGGAAUUCCCGGUGUAGUGGUGAAAUGCGUAGAUAUCGGGAGGAACACCGGUGGCGAAGGCGGGUCUCUGGGCCGAUACUGACGCUGAGGAGCGAAAGCGUGGGGAGCGAACAGG
rnacentral:rRNA from 1 species